ACCUUACCAAAAACACACUAGAUUCUUUAUACUCAGUGUUCUUCAGCUGCAUCACAAACACUCUGCGUGCUUGCCAUCAUCCAUCCAUUGCUCCUGUGGAACAAGGUGAGCUAACACAAAUGCAUCGAUGUUAAUUCUGUGUAUUGUGCCAGGAGUGAUGAAGUCCCUUGCCUCUGACCCACAAGUCUUAGGUUUUUUGUCAGCAUCCAUGAAACUGUGACAGGCUAACUUAAUGGUUUGUAAGUAGGGAACAAUUCCAUUCAACAAGAAGAAUGGAAUACUUACAGAGACAUGGUUUUCUGGAAGAAGGAUGGUGGACCAGGUUUGAGAAUAUAAGAUAUCCUGGCAUCUACCUGGUAAUGAAUGCUGUCAUCCAAGUGAUAGACAAGGAGUAGGAGAGUAGAGAUUUCCACUGUCCUACCUGUUACUCUACAGGAGUUGAACUAAUGUUUAGAGGCUUAGAGAUAAGAGGUAGAAUACUACCUGCUGUCCAAAUGGUGCCUUGGUUGUUGCAGACAGGCUGAGAAAGGAAUAUUUUCAUUUAGGGUCAACAAAUCCUGUGAUCCUGUCAGAAAGCUGUGUGACUGAAAUUGCUAGAUCAAGGAAUCCCCAAAACAAAUAUCAGCAGUAUGACCCUUGCUUUUGAUUGAGAGCUUUCAGUGCACCAAAAAAUAUUAGAAGUUCAUAAGGUUGAACUACAAGCUGUCCCUGAUCAUAUACAAAAGAGAAUGCAGGGCCUCCCUGGUGGCGCAGGCUGUGAAGCUGUCCGCAGCCUCUGCAGUGCCAGUUCGAUCCCCGUCAGCCUUGGAGAAACCCACAUGGCAAGCGGACCUCUCCUGUCUCGCCCACUGCUCCCCUCAGCAGUGUAUUUCGUCUGUCUGCCUGUUCUGGUCCCCACUCUGUCUCUGGUGAAUCCUCUCACCCGCGCUUCUGGCCUGUGCCCCGCCUCUUGUAUAAAUAAAAUAAAUCUUAAAAAAAAAAAGAGAGAGAAUGCAAAGUCUUGCCUAAAAAUACAGAGCAGGUCAUUGUUAUAACCCUAAUUCCAGACUUAGCCAGCAAUGAGGACAAAAUGCUGGGUGUAGGAGUGACAGAAGACCCUAAAGACCACAGGGCAAAACAUGGCCAUGUGCUGGGAUUAAAAAGAAACUCCUGGGACCUGGUUUCCUGGAUCCUAACACCCUGGGAGAGAUAGCUAUGCUAGUACUCAGAAAUUGACUCUGGCUAAAGAAAAACGGCCAGCAAUUAAGUUUUGUCUUCAUGGUCUAGCCUCCUCUACCUCAUGGAGUCCACCCCUGGGUUGGCUGAUAAGGUGAUCUGGUAUCCAUUGUCAUCUGCUGUAUAGCUCCUAACUUCAAUAUAUUUUAGAUUCCUCAUUUGAGAACAAGGCAUUCAGUAGCAGAAAAGGGGAGUGUUGUCUGCGGGUGGCCCAUAGUGUGUAAUGUAGCUUUCAAGUCUGAAUAUCUACUGUAAUUGAUAGGUUAUAUGCCUCUACAUCCAUGUCUCAUAAUCUGUCAGUAGGAGUUCUCUAUUCAGGGAUGCCUUAUGCAGAGAAAUGAUGGUGAGGAUAUAAAUUUGUCCCCAACCUGCCUUCCUAUCCCCUUUCCAGUGGUCCAACAGAAACAAUAGAGGAACCCCAGAGGAAGAAAGUGAAAUCACUCCUUAAAGACUUAAUGGUAGCAGAGUACUCGAGCCGUUUUCCUGCUCGACUUUGCCACCUACCUCACACAAACCCCAAGUACGUCCAUUUUGGAGAAAGCCAACUAUUAACCUAUUACUAUUGCAAGUGAAUGCCUGACUCGUGGAGGCCUUCUGACUCACAGGACACCAGGCAUGGACCCGCUUUGUGCCAUUGUUCAUUCUGCAGGCAUGACAUAUUCUUCCUACUGGGAGAAGAACCAGAGACUGGCUGACCAACACUUAAUUCAAAACAGCCUCAACUGUUCACCAUGUUCCUGAGUUUGUGCACUAUUAAAGCAAGUCUUUUGUACUCCUGAAGCUGGGGAACUAAGCUUGUGAGCCUUCUUGUGCUUUGUCCAAGUCCAGAAGGCUUUGUGCCUGUAGUCAAUGAUGUGGACAAGGUAAAGACUAAAAUUCUGCAUCUGUAUAAUAACUUUCUUAAGAUGAAUGCCAACCAAUUUAGACAACAUACUCCUUCCUGGACACAGCUUAUGGAUUCUUCUCUUAAAAUUUUUGUUUUGAAAAAAAUCAAAUAUUUGGGAAUAAAUCUAACAAAAGAGAUAAAA